rnacentral:rRNA from 1 species
AUUGAACGCUGGCGGCAUGCUUUACACAUGCAAGUCGAACGGUAACAGGCCGCAAGGUGCUGACGAGUGGCGAACGGGUGAGUAAUGCAUCGGAACGUGCCCAGUCGUGGGGGAUAACGCAGCGAAAGCUGUGCUAAUACCGCAUACGAUCUAUGGAUGAAAGCGGGGGACCGUAAGGCCUCGCGCGAUUGGAGCGGCCGAUGUCAGGAUUAGGUAGUUGGUGGGGUAAAGGCCUACCAAGCCAACGAUCUGUAGCUGGUCUGAGAGGACGACCAGCCACACUGGGACUGAGACACGGCCCAGACUCCUACGGGAGGCAGCAGUGGGGAAUUUUGGACAAUGGGCGCAAGCCUGAUCCAGCAAUGCCGCGUGCAGGAAGAAGGCCUUCGGGUUGUAAACUGCUUUUGUACGGAACGAAACGGUCUGGGUUAAUACCCUGGGCUAAUGACGGUACCGUAAGAAUAAGCACCGGCUAACUACGUG